rnacentral:rRNA from 1 species
AGUCGAGCGAGUCUGCCUUGAAGAUCGGAGUGCUUGCACUCUGUGAAACAAGAUACAGGCUAGCGGCGGACGGGUGAGUAACACGUGGGUAACCUGCCCAAGAGAUCGGGAUAACACCUGGAAACAGAUGCUAAUACCGGAUAACAACAGAUGAUGCCUAUCAACUGUUUAAAAGAUGGUUCUGCUAUCACUCUUGGAUGGACCUGCGGUGCAUUAGCUAGUUGGUAGGGUAACGGCCUACCAAGGCGAUGAUGCAUAGCCGAGUUGAGAGACUGAUCGGCCACAUUGGGACUGAGACACGGCCCAAACUCCUACGGGAGGCAGCAGUAGGGAAUCUUCCACAAUGGACGCAAGUCUGAUGGAGCAACGCCGCGUGAGUGAAGAAGGGUUUCGGCUCGUAAAGCUCUGUUGUUGGUGAAGAAGGACAGGGGUAGUAACUGACCUUUGUUUGACGGUAAUCAAUUAGAAAGUCACGGCUAACUACGUGCCAGCAGCCGCGGUAAUACGUAGGUGGCAAGCGUUGUCCGGAUUUAUUGGGCGUAAAGCGAGUGCAGGCGGCUCGAUAAGUCUGAUGUGAAAGCCUUCGGCUCAACCGGAGAAUUGCAUCAGAAACUGUCGAGCUUGAGUACAGAAGAGGAGAGUGGAACUCCAUGUGUAGCGGUGAAAUGCGUAGAUAUAUGGAAGAACACCGGUGGCGAAGGCGGCUCUCUGGUCUGUUACUGACGCUGAGGCUCGAAAGCAUGGGUAGCGAACAGGAUUAGAUACCCUGGUAGUCCAUGCCGUANACGAUGAGUGCUAAGUGUUGGGAGGUUUCCGCCUCUCAGUGCUGCAGCUAACGCAUUAAGCAC